rnacentral:lncRNA from 1 species
AUGAGGAGAAAACGUGGAGAAAAAUUCACAUCCAUCUACAGCCCAGGGAAGUGUGUGAAUACGGAGCUGUUUCAGCUGGUCCAUGAUUCUAAGAUUCCACAACAAGGACAGAAAUGUAUUCUCUGUGAUAUAAAAAGGUCUAAAGAUGACUCCGAGCUUCCAUUACUAGGAGACUCCAGGCUGUGCUUUCUGUUUUGUUGCUCGAUCCAAGAUGCAUUUGGACUCCAGGAGACACCGAGAGGCCAGUGCUCACCUGGGAAGGAAGCCCUUCUCCCUCUGAGCUCCACGGGGCCCUGCAGACAAUGCAACGAGAAUCCUCAGAGUCCCCGAGUCCUGAGCCAGACGGCAGCGCUGGGCCUCAGCCAGGACCUCAGAAUCCUGAGAACCUCCCGGGACCAUGGCAUCUCUGCACGUGCCACCAAGGCCAGCUCUGCGCAGCCCCUGCUGAGACAAGAGGAAGCGGGAGCAGGAGCAGAGCUUGGUCCCAAAGCUUGCUUUAAGAAUGGAAUAGUCAUUUGGGGGCUGCUUUACAUUAUUUAUUUGUUUUUAUUAAAUUUUAAUUUCUAUUAGUGC